GGACAUGUUACGACCACUUUUAGGCCUAAUGUUCUUUAUAAGAGUUGUUACUCUAUGUCUUAGGAUCACUUAUAUUUAAGAUUUAUAAUUUUUUAAAUUUUUUAGAAUUAAUUAUGGCAAACUAAUUGGCCUGAACUCAGGUACCCUGUGCCUUCAGGAUUCCAGGUUCAAGUCAGUGACUUUGUCUCCCAUUUUAGGGUUUUAUACUCAAAAUUUGAGGAAGUUCCCUGAAUCAAAGUUGGAGCCCUAUCUCUUAAGUUUCCAGAACAGUUAGGUUCAUCCCAUUUAGAGUUUUUUACUAAAAGUUAUAGUAUAAACACUGUUAUAGAGUCAAGUGAUUAUUUGGUUCAUUUCAGGUUUUGGUAUGCUGACUUGUCCUAGCUAAUUGGCCUAGUUUCAUUAGGUUCUGGGUUUUGGUCAAAAUAUCA
rnacentral:misc_RNA from 1 species